AUACUCUGGUUUCUCUUCAGACCGUAUAAAUCUUUCGCCUUUUACUAAAGAUUUCCGUGGAGAGGAACAGGCACGAGUGUCAAGGAAUUUUUUGAGGCUCUGUUUCGGCGGAGCU
rnacentral:snRNA from 1 species